rnacentral:rRNA from 1 species
GUGGGGAAUAUUGGACAAUGGGCGAAAGCCUGAUCCAGCAAUACCGCGUGAGUGAUGAAGGCCUUAGGGUUGUAAAGCUCUUUUACCAGGGAUGAUAAUGACAGUACCUGGAGAAUAAGCUCCGGCUAACUCCGUGCCAGCAGCCGCGGUAAUACGGAGGGAGCUAGCGUUGUUCGGAAUUACUGGGCGUAAAGCGCACGUAGGCGGUUACUCAAGUCAGAGGUGAAAGCCCGGGGCUCAACCCCGGAACUGCCUUUGAAACUAGGUAACUAGAAUCUUGGAGAGGUCAGUGGAAUUCCGAGUGUAGAGGUGAAAUUCGUAGAUAUUCGGAAGAACACCAGUGGCGAAGGCGACUGACUGGACAAGUAUUGACGCUGAGGUGCGAAAGCGUGGGGAGCAAACAGGAUUAGAUACCCCGGUAGUCC